GAACCAUUCUUGCCAUGUGCACCAUCACAGACCCAAACUGGCCUCACCUCAAACAGGCACAACUUGUGUAACACCUCACACAGUUUUAACCUCUUAAAACCCAUUAUAAUGGACAGCAUAAAGUAAUAGACUUACUUCAGAACAUAUGGCCAUUUGUUUUACAUUUUAGUCAUUUAGCAGAUGCUCUUAUCCAGCGCAACUUAUAGGAGCAAGUAGGGUUAAGUGUCUUCCUCAAGGGCCCAUUGACAUAGAUUUUUCACAUAGUCAGCUCGGGGAUUUGAACCAGCAACCUUUCGGCUACUGGCCCAACCACUAGGCUACCUAGUUUAACUAAAUGCUGAAUAAAUAAAUACAACAUCAGAAGCAGUGUAAAAGUGGGACAGUAGUAAAGGAAAGGGACAGUAGUAAAGGAAAGGGACAGUAGUAAAGGAAAGGGACAGUAGUAAAGGAAAGGGACAGUAGUGAAGGAAAGGGACACAGUAGUAAAGGAAAGGGACAGUAUAGUAAAGGAAAGGGACAGUAGUGAAGGAAAGGGACACAGUAGUAAAGGAAAGGGACAGUAGUGAAGGAAAG
ensembl:lncRNA